UGCGUAGGCGGAUUAAUAAGUCAGUAGUGAAAGCCUCUCGCUCAACGGGAGAACUGCCAUUGAUACUGUUAGUCUUGAGUAUGGUUGAGGUGGGCGGAAUGUGUCAUGUAGCGGUGAAAUGCUUAGAUAUGACACAGAACACCAAUUGCGAAGGCAGCUCGCUAAGCCAUAACUGACGCUGAGGCACGAAAGCGUGGGGAGCAAACAGGAUUAGAUACCCUGGUAGUCC
rnacentral:rRNA from 1 species